CCCACCAGUGACAGUACGAAUAACGCCAGCGAACUGUUUUAGUGCUGAUCUGGUAAGACGAACGCUAGCGGCAGGCCUAACACAUGCAAGUCGAGCGGUAGAGAGAAGCUCGUUUCUCUCGAGAGCGGCGGACGGGCAGUAACGCCUAGGAAUCUGCCUGGUAGGGGGGGAUAACGUUCGGAAACGGACGCUAAUACCGCAUACGUCCUACGGGAGAAAGCAGGGGACCUUCGGGCCUUGCGCUAUCAGAUGAGCCUAGGUCGGAUUAGCUAGUGGGUGGGGUAAUGGCUCACCAAGGCGACGAUCCGUAACUGGUCUGAGAGGAUGAUCAGUCACACUGGAACUGAGACACGGUCCAGACUCCUACGGGAGGCAGCAGUGGGGAAUAUUGGACAAUGGGCGCAAGCCUGAUCCAGCAAUGCCGCGUGUGUGAAGAAGGCCUUCGGGUUGUAAAGCACUUUUAUCAGGAACGAAAAGCGUUGGAUUAAUACUCUGACGUGCUGACGGUACCUGAGGAAUAAGCACCGGCUAACUUCGUGCCAGCAGCCGCGGUAAUACGAAGGGUGCAAGCGUUAAUCGGAAUUACUGGGCGUAAAGCGUGCGUAGAUGGUUCGCUAAGUCGGGAUGUGAAAUCCCCCGGGCUCAACCUGGGAACUGCAUCCGAUACUGGCGGACUAGAGUGUGAUAAAAGGGAUGGGCGGACCUCCCGGUGGUAGCCGGUGAAAUGCCUAAAGAUUUCGGGAAGGAACUUCGGUGGGCGAAGGGCGGUCCUUCUGAAUCAACACUGAUCGUUGAGGCACGAAAGCGUGGGGAGCAAACAUGAUUAGAUACCGCUGUAGUCCACGCCCUAACGAUGUCUACUGGGAGUGUGGUGGGUCCACUUGGCACUCAGUAUCCGAGCUAACGCGUUAGUCGACGGCUGAGGAGUACCGCCGCAGCUGACUUGAGGACUGACGGCUGCGAUAUGCGGGUUGGAAAAUGGUGCAUAUA
rnacentral:rRNA from 1 species